rnacentral:rRNA from 1 species
GACGAACGCUGGCGGCGUGCUUAACACAUGCAAGUCGAACGGUGAUCCCGCUUCGGUGGGGGAUCAGUGGCGAACGGGUGAGUAACACGUGAGCAACCUGCCCCUGACUCUGGGAUAACUCCGGGAAACCGGGGCUAAUACCGGAUAUGACGUGCCUGCGCAUGCGGGUGUGUGGAAAGAUUUUUCGGUGGGGAUGGGCUCGCGGCCUAUCAGCUUGUUGGUGGGGUGAUGGCCUACCAAGGCGACGACGGGUAGCCGGCCUGAGAGGGCGACCGGCCACACUGGGACUGAGACACGGCCCAGACUCCUACGGGAGGCAGCAGUGGGGAAUAUUGCACAAUGGGCGCAAGCCUGAUGCAGCGACGCCGCGUGAGGGAUGAAGGCCUUCGGGUUGUAAACCUCUUUCAGCGCCGAAGAAGCGAAAGUGACGGUAGGCGCAGAAGAAGCACCGGCUAACUACGUGCCAGCAGCCCGACGGUAAACUGUUGUCGU